rnacentral:misc_RNA from 1 species
GAACGCAUCUUGCGCUCCUUGGUAUUCCGAGGAGCAUGCCUGUUUGAGUAUCAUGAACACCUCAACUCUUCAUGGUUUUCCAUGAUGAGCUUGGACUUUGGGGGUCUUGCUGGCCUGUGGGUCGGCUCCUCUCAAAUGAAUCAGCUUGCCGGUUUUUGGUGGGCAUCACAGGUGUGAUAACUAUCUACGCUUGUGGUUUUCCACCAGGGUAACCUUCAGCAGUGGAGGUUCACUGGAGCUUACAAAUGUCUCUCCUCUGUGAGGACAGCCCUUUGAAUGUUUGAUCUCAAAUCAGGUAGGACUACCCGCUGAACUUAAG